CCUAGGUCGGAUUAGCUAGUUGGUGAGGUAAUGGCUCACCAAGGCGACGAUCCGUAACUGGUCUGAGAGGAUGAUCAGUCACACUGGAACUGAGACACGGUCCAGACUCCUACGGGAGGCAGCAGUGGGGAAUAUUGGACAAUGGGCGAAAGCCUGAUCCAGCCAUGCCGCGUGUGUGAAGAAGGUCUUCGGAUUGUAAAGCACUUUAAGUUGGGAGGAAGGGCAGUUACCUAAUACGUAAUUGUUUUGACGUUACCGACAGAAUAAGCACCGGCUAACUCUGUGCCAGCAGCCGCGGUAAUACAGAGGGUGCAAGCGUUAAUCGGAAUUACUGGGCGUAAAGCGCGCGUAGGUGGUUCGUUAAGUUGGAUGUGAAAUCCCCGGGCUCAACCUGGGAACUGCAUUCAAAACUGUCGAGCUAGAGUAUGGUAGAGGGUGGUGGAAUUU
rnacentral:rRNA from 1 species